UAUCACUCACACAUAGCAUCCAGGUGCAGUUAAAUUCCCCCAAAGCACAGGGAAGAGGCAUCACUGUGGGCGAGUGGGGUGUGUCCCUAUCAGAAGAGAAGAUGAUGAGACAACAACCUAGUGUAACUAAAUCUCCUUUCCUUCCCAACCGUGCUGCCUAAGUCACAGCAGAGAAGCACACUUAGAACUGGACGGUGGUUCUCGCGAGGCUCCGCAUCUAUUUCGUCUGUUUAAACAUGUUCUUCUCCCAUGGCUGCCAGGAUGCCCCAAGCCGCUAGAGUCUUUUUCAGCCAGGGCCUGCCCUGCCCUUGGUGGCUGCCUCCCCAGUGAGCUGAUGUUCAGGUUCUUUUACUUCUGAGAUGCAGUACACUUUCUAUUGAGACAAUGGAUCUUUUUGUUCUUUGUGAUUCAACUCUAAUUUGGUUUUUGUUUUUGUUUAAUUCUGCACAUGGCUUCAGAGCACAGCUGACUUUUGCCUGGGACCAUCUUGUCAGUGUUGACAACUCCCUUAUUUAUUUGCCUUGGAAAAUUCUCUUUUCAUUUUUCAUAUAGCAUCAGAUUCAUGGCUUAUUCCCACCUGGCUGCUGCCUACAACCUUUUCCAGCUAGGAAGACAUGUGUUAUGAGCCCCACCAAGGGCGGGGCCCUGUGCCACAGGAUGGGGAUGCGGGGCCCAGGAUCAAGGGUCAGCAUCAAAUGGGCACAGGCUGAGCUGGUGGCCAAGGGCCCUGUGUUCUUACCCUGCCCCCUCUUCCCAAGACAUCCUGAGCUGUGGGCAGCAGACUCACGGUUGGCCUCGUGUCACUUGCUCUGAUUUGAUCCUCCACAUGAAGAACAUGGUUAUGCAACCACGUAAAAGACUCACUUCCUUUCUGGUCAUUUUCUGUUCUUCAGCACGUAACUCACCUACUGCCAUGUCCUUUGAUCCCUACUUACUGUCUUGCUCCUUAAAAUGGGCCUCCCUCGACCAGAGACCCUGGGGAAUCAGCACACCCUUUCCCACCAACCACUUCUGAACUUACACCCACAGAGGUGAGAGGGGGUCUUUGGAAGCACAUGAUUUAAUCCAGUAAGCAAUUUUUCCAGAAUUUGUCCAGAGUACUAAGUUCAUUCCAUAGUGAUUAUCAUAGAACAAAGCAGCAGGUUCUUGAGUAAUUGUUAAAAUNNNNNNNNNNNNNNNNNNNNNNNNNNNNNNNNNNNNNNNNNNNNNNNNNNNNNNNNNNNNNNNNNNNNNNNNNNNNNNNNNNNNNNNNNNNNNNNNNNNCAUAGAACAAAGCAGCAGGUUCUUGAGUAAUUGUUAAAAUGCAGACUCCUGGGUCACAUUCCAGGCUUUCUGAGUCAGGACCCCUUGGGGGUGGAGCCAGAGAACCUGCACUUUUACAAUCUCCCGAGGCACGUCUCACAACGACUGAAGUCUGAGAACGUGCAGGGCAAGAUGUACGGAGCAGGCCAGGUCUCAGGAAGCUUGCAACCGCACAGAAGUGAAAAGCAGACAAAAUCUGCAGUCCAAAGUCAUCCCCAAUAUGGCCUCAGCAGUGUUGAUAAGAGGAACGCAGGCCCCUUGUGCCUGACGGCUCCGUUCUCCAUGGCUUCUGGCUUCCAAAUGUGAGUUAUUUGCUGGCACAGGUAGGUGAUGUUCUGCUGCUGAGAAAGAAUGCUUUCCCCACAAAUAAUCUACUCUUUCAUCCCAGUACAUAUUAAGUGCCUACUGUACAUCCUUUUAAAUAUACAUCUGACGUCUUUAGUGACUUUCUCAUAUCUUCCCGACUUAUUGAGUCAUCAGCCACAUUUUCAUCCACAGCACAGCAGUAGUCACUAGAAUUAGCCUGAGAUGUGAGUAUGAUCAUGUUUUUGGUAGCUGUUCUGAGGCAAGGACAAUCAAUGGCCUCCAGAGAUGUCCCCAUCCUCAUCCCUGUUGAGAGAUGACUUAAGUACAUCACACGACAAAGGGGGAUUCUCAAGAUGGGGAGAUUCUCCUGGGUUAUCCAGGAGGUACAAUUUAACCACAUGCGGUCUUAACAGUAGAGAACCCA
rnacentral:lncRNA from 1 species